rnacentral:rRNA from 1 species
CACGUAGGUGGUUACGUAUGUCGAUGGUGAAAUCCUAUGGCUCAACCGUAGAACUGCCAUCGAAACUACGUAGCUAGAGGACAGGAGGGGAGAGUGGAAUUCCUAGUGUAGCGGUGAAAUGCGUAGAUAUUAGGAGGAACGCCGGUGGCGAAAGCGACUCUCUGGACUGUUUCUGACACUGAGGUGCGAAAGCUAGGGGAGCAAACA